rnacentral:rRNA from 1 species
AAAUUGAAGAGUUUGAUCAUGGCUCAGAUUGAACGCUGGCGGCAGGCCUAACACAUGCAAGUCGAACGGUAACAGGAAGCAGCUUGCUGCUUCGCUGACGAGUGGCGGACGGGUGAGUAAUGUCUGGGAAACUGCCUGAUGGAGGGGGAUAACUACUGGAAACGGUAGCUAAUACCGCAUAAUGUCGCAAGACCAAAGAGGGGGACCUUCGGGCCUCUUGCCAUCGGAUGUGCCCAGAUGGGAUUAGCUUGUUGGUGGGGUAACGGCUCACCAAGGCGACGAUCCCUAGCUGGUCUGAGAGGAUGACCAGCCACACUGGAACUGAGACACGGUCCAGACUCCUAC